AUGUAAUAUUCUUCAUGUUAUAGGUCCCAAUUGACUGAUUUCAGCUCCACCUUCUAUUUUCUCAGCAUUCCAGUGUUUUUUUCCAAAAUGGUUGCUGAGAGAUAUAAAACAAUCAACUUUUAAGAGUGUAUGGGGCAGCCAGAUGACCGAAUGGUAAUGCUGUUGGUGUGCAAUGCAGGAGGACCUGGGUUUGCAUCCUGGUGAUCUAAAACUUUUCAGGUGUUACCAGACCCUGAAAAGUUUUUUCGAAUUGCUGGGUCCGGCCCUGCGAUCCCCAUCCUCUACCAUCCUGCCCCUCUCUACAGUUGUGAUGGGUAGCACAGCUUGUCACAACUAUGAGCUGCACCAUCUGGGUGUGGUGCAACCCGUGGUUGGAACUGAUCUCAUCUCUUAGUAAUCUCACUGAUUGGAAAGGGAUGUAAAAAUGCAAAAAAAAAUAUUACUGUGGAUAUUAUAAAAAAUAUAUAAUGCUUUUUAUUGUUGCGUAUUUGGAUG
rnacentral:lncRNA from 1 species